UUCAGAUUGUGAAUAAAGACGCAAGACACGUUGGCUGUGGAGAGAUGCAAUGCUUCAGAAGAGUGGUCGUUUGUGGCUUUGACCAUCCAUUAAGUGGAACUGAGACCAAGAAACCAGGGACUUAACUCACUGUCCAAAAAUAAAGAUUCAGUUUUACACGGACUGCAA
rnacentral:sRNA from 1 species